rnacentral:misc_RNA from 2 species
GUACCUUAAGCUCUGCUUAGUGUUGGGUGAUUGUCUGCGUCUAGCGUAGACUCGCCUUGAAUCCAUUGGCCGCCGAUAGUGUAGUAUGCGAGCGCAGCACAUUUGCGCACUGUACUCGACUACUCGGCCACCAUCAAGUAUAAUACAUCAAC